CUCUAGUCCGACUCUGUGAAAAGACAUGGGGGGUGUAGUAAUAAGUGGGAGGCGGUAAUUGCCCUUCGGGGUCUCUCGUUCGACAAUGAAAGACCACUCCCAUCAUUAUUUCUUUGCAUAUUCAGUGAAGGGGGAACUGUCAAUUAUUUUCCAUGUUGACAUUAAACACACACGUUAGUGCGUUGGUCUCACCACGUGUGUGGCUGAAAAAGUGGAACUGACAAAGACAAGGGAG
rnacentral:ncRNA from 1 species